AUUGAACGCUGGCGGCAGGCCUAACACACGCAAGUCGAGCGGAUGACGGGAGCUUGCUCCUUGAUUCAGCGGCGGACGGGUGAGUAAUGCCUAGGAAUCUGCCUGGUAGUGGGGGGCAACGUUUCGAAAGGAACGCUAAUACCGCAUACGUCCUACGGGAGAAAGCAGGGGGCCUUCGGGCCAUGCGCUAUCAGAUGAGCCUAGGUCGGAUUAGCUAGUUGGUGGGGUAAUGACUCACCAAGGCGACGAUCCGUAACUGGUCUGAGAGGAUGAUCAGUCACACUGGAACUGAGACACGGUCCAGACUCCUACGGGAGGCAGCAGUGGGGAAUAUUGGACAAUGGGCGAAAGCCUGAUCCAGCCAUGCCGCGUGUGUGAAGAAGGUCUUCGGAUUGUAAAGCACUUUAAGUUGGGAGGAAGGGCAGUAAGUUAAUACCUUGCUGUUUUGACGCUACCGACAGAAUAAGCACCGGCCAACUCUGUGCCAGCAGCCGCCGUAAUAC
rnacentral:rRNA from 1 species